rnacentral:rRNA from 1 species
GCUGGCGGCGUGCCUAAUACAUGCAAGUCGAGCGGUAACAGGGGGUCUCACCGUUUCCUUGACACACCUAGUGCUUAUGUCGUAGGUUGUGAAACUUCGAGGGAACAGUGAGAUCUUGCUGACGAGCGGCGGACGGCUGAGUAACGCGUGGGAACGGACCCCAAACUGAGGGAUAACGCACCGAAAGGUGUGCUAAUACCGCAUAUGCUCUUCGGAGUAAAGCUUUCGGGCGGUUUGGGACUGGCCUGCGUACGAUUAGAUAGUUGGCGGGGUAAUAGCCCACCAAGUCGACGAUCGUUAGAUGGUUUGAGAAGAUGAUCAUCCAGACUGGGACUGAGACACGGCCCAGACUCCUACGGGAGGCAGCAGUAGGGAAUCUUUCACAAUGGGCGAAAGCCUGAUGGAGCAACGCCGCGUGCAGGAUGACGGCCUUCGGGUUGUAAACUGCUUUUAUAACCGAGAAAUAUGAUGGUAAGUUAUGAAUAAGGACCGGCUAACUACGUGCC